CAAAUCUUCUGUCCUUCAAAGUCUGCACGUGAUAAAGGAACCUGCCGAGACCCUUAAUGACGUGAAGACACUGUGCGUCUCCCUCAUCAUCUUACUCUAAACAACGAUGGUCUGCAUGGCAUUCCCUUUCAUCAUGGUGACCACCUUCGCUGCAACUUGCGCUUUGACCUGCUUUCCCUUCUCCGUUUUGAUGUACAUGCAGGGAUAUAAAAAGGGUUUGCAGAAAUCUGUGCUUCAUAAGUCAGCGGAGGAGGGACAGCUGCUUCCUCCUGGUGCUCAUGGGAAGCAGGGGCAGGCCAGAAGUGAUGGACGACAGCUGCUCGACAUUUACACAGAGGUCAAAUACAGCCCACUGUGACCUCUGACCCCAGCCACACCUCCACAAAUCAUGUGAUCCAGAUAACCACACCCUCCCAGACUCACUUGCACCUUAAGCACACAUUCCUAUGUCUUCAUUUUGACACAUAAGGGGUUCAGUUGUCUCAGACAUUAAGUUAUAAUUCAAAUUUUUUCAAUUGUAAUUUUAUGCAGACAUUGAAGUAAAAGACGUCAACAACUUUAUUUUGGAUGAUUUUAUGCAAUAAAAUGUUCCUUUUAUUUGAUUCUGAAUCAUUUUUCAGUGCAG